rnacentral:rRNA from 1 species
GUUUAUUCGAUGCACGCGAAAAACCUUACCUACCCUUGACAUGUCUGGAAUUUCGCAGAGAUGUGAAAGUGCUCGAAAGAGAACCAGAACACAGGUGCUGCAUGGCCGUCGUCAGCUCGUGUCGUGAGAUGUUGGGUUAAGUCCCGCAACGAGCGCAACCCUUGUCAUUAGUUGCUACGAAAGGGCACUCUAAUGAGACUGCCGGUGACAAACCGGAGGAAGGUGGGGAUGACGUCAGGUCCUCAUGGCCCUUAUGGGUAGGGCUACACACGUCAUACAAUGGCCGGUACAGAGGGCUGCCAACCCGCGAGGGGGAGCUAAUCCCAGAAAACCGGUCGUAGUCCGGAUCGCAGUCUGCAACUCGACUGCGUGAAGUCGGAAUCGCUAGUAAUCGCGGAUCAGCUUGCCGCGGUGAAUACGUUCCCGGGUCUUGUACACACCGCCCGUCACACCAUGGGAGCGGGUUCUGCCAGAAGUAGUUAGCCUAACCGCAAGGAGGGCGAUUACCACGGCAGGGUUCGUGACUGGGGUGAAGUCGUCGUAACAAGGUAACCGUA